UCCACUCCUGCACUUUGGCACCCCCACCCGAUCCUAGCCUGUCAUGGCCUCCCCCUCCAUGGGUGCUAGGAGGAGGUGACUCUAUGUACCAGCUUCAUUGGGCUGCUUCCUCUGUGAAGGAAUCCGAGAUCUCGAGAGUCAAUGAAUGUUCUAUUCAGCAUGAGUGACCAGGGCAAGGACCUGCUGGACAGUGUGUGAUUGGUUCACCAUGACAUAAGGGACGCUGCUCAUGGGAAGUGGGGUCACAGGGUGGGCUUCACACUGCAAGACUUGAAAGGGGAGCAGUUAUACCCCUUAGAUGUGUUCUUGGGAGAAAUGAUACACUUGGUCUCAUUAUGUGAAGUGGGGUAGGGAUAAAGAGACAGGGAAAUAACUGCCAACGUGGCCUCCUCCCUGCCAACACUAAUUUUCCCUGCACUAUCUCUGUACAUUUCAAAGGUUUGGUCUUCUGGGUGGCGUCCGUUUUCCCUCACUGUCAGGGAAAGUUGGCUCCCUCUGGCUGACUUUAGAGUACUGUGACUUGGGCAUUGCUGAUGCCGCAUGGGGCUUACUUGUCUGGGGGAGUGGGCUAAGUGGGUGUAGGGGUGCAGAUGGGGGUGGGGGUAGUAGAACCAGGAAAAUGGGAAUCCCUGGUGGGUUUCUGAUUCCUGUGGUGAGGAGGAGAGUCACAGUCCUGGGGAUGGAAAUGGAGGUGGCCUGCUGCUGAGUCACCUGCUGGUGAGCCCCGACGUGGACAUACAUGCAGAUGGGCCAGCAAGCAGCAAGUUGUCAGUAUUGGCGUGGGUCGGCAAAUGGUAGCUGCAUCUUAGUUCCUAACAGCUUGAAGGGGCAGACUGCACAGACCCGAACAUCUUGACAGUUGAGAUGUGGACAGGUGAAAAGCUACAUUUCCAUUACAAGUUGUUACUUUAAGAUCUGUAGAGUGUAAACCUAAGUUAAAAUUUCCCCCAAAUCACAAGCAUCUGUGAUGGGGUAGCCAAGCUGUUGAGUUGACAGGAGGCUGGUCGGCGUCAGGUUGGGUUGGGUUGUGGGACUGAUGGGUUGUGUCAUUGAAUGGCUCUUCUCAGUGUCUGGAUACUGGGCUGGGCCUUGGGUUUUACUCACUUUCAGUAUAGCUUGUCAGUAUUGUUAAGGUAUCCAAAGCCUUUCUAGAUCGAGACAGGAAAACUGACUUGAACAUAUGGUAGGUGUGCCUCUGUAAGAAUCCAGGCUCAUUCUGAGUUGAUGAAAAGUCUUAUUUGGACAUAUGCAGGGUUUGGCUCCCUGAACACUCUUGGGGGGGGGGGUCAUCUGACACAGUACCAUUUAGUGACUUUCCCAAGAUAAGCAUGAGUUGUGUCCUUGAGUGAAACAUUGGCCAUGCAUGGCUGUGGUGGGCCAUUGCUUUUGCUGCUUUAGAGCACCACGGACCUGGCUGGUGCUGAGCUGGUCCCUACAGCUAAUGCUCGGUAAACUGUCACCUUCUGGCCUCCUCAUGGCACCGGGUCCUUCGUCUUCAUGUGCAUGCAUGACUUGCAGUAGAGCCUACUCACUGCAUGGGAGUCCCUGGCUAGAGUCUGCUGCCUGGCGGCUUGCAGCGACGGCUCAGUCAAGGCUGAAAGGUCUUUGGCCACACAGUGAAAAGUGAACCAUAGAUGGAGCUUGCUGACCCCACUGACACUACCUGUGUUUGGUUUGCUGGGCUCUUGGUGCUGGGAGUGCAGCAAGCACA
rnacentral:lncRNA from 1 species